rnacentral:rRNA from 1 species
ACUGCCGCCGUUUAAGGCGGAGGAAGGAGGGGGCCACGGCAGGUCAGCAUGCCCCGAAUCCCCCGGGCUACACGCGGGCUACAAUGGCGGGGACAGCGGGUGCCGACCCCGAAAGGGGAGGCAAUCCCUCAAACCCCGCCGCAGUUGGGAUCGAGGGCUGCAACUCGCCCUCGUGAACGAGGAAUCCCUAGUAACCGCGGAUCAGCACGCCGCGGUGAAUACGUUCCCGGGCCUU